AUUAAAUUGAUAUUAUAUAUUUAUUAUUUAUUAAAAUUAUUUUUUUUCUUUUUAGUGUUUUUAGAAAUAAUUUAUUUAAUUAUUACUGACAAGGUAGAUUAUUAAAUUUUUAUUAGAUUUUGUUAGUACCUUUGGUAUCAGGGUAAAUUAAGUAUUUUAAGAAUUUUAUAUUCCCGAAUUUAAAAGGUCAAUAAUUUUAUUUAGGUUUAAUUGUUUAAUAAAUUUUGUUAAUGAAGUUAUAGUAGCUACAUGUUAAUCGAUUUUAGUUUAUCUGGUUACUAAGGAAUUUGAUUUAAUCAAUCAUUAUUAAAUUUUAAGUAAAUAUUUUUAUUGAUAGUGAAAAGUUAUUAGGGACAAUCUUGAUAAUUUGUACUAAAAUUUAAUUUUUAUGAAGUUUAUUAACUUUAAAAUUUUGUAUUAAGUUUAUAAUAAAAUUCCUUCUUUAAUUUUUAUUUGUUAAAAUUUAGUUUAUUACUUAGUUUUUUAAUAUAAUUUAAUUAUUAUUUUAAUAAUGAUUUAAUUAGUAUAAUUUAAAGAUUAAAUAUUAUGAACUCGACAAUUUUUAUUUCCAACUGUUUAACAAAAACAUUUCUUUUAGCAUAUAUUAAAAGUAUUUCCUGCCCUAUGGUUUUAUUUAAAUGGCUGCAGUAUUUUGACUGUGCAAAGGUAGCAUAGUAAUUAGUUUCUUAAUUAGGAACUUGUAUGAAUGGAUGAAUGAGAUAUAGGUUUUAUUUAUUUAAAAGUUAAAAUUUUAAUUUUAAGUAAAAAUGCUUAAGAUUUUUCUUGGGACGAUAAGACCCUAUAGAACUUUAUAUUUGCUUAAUAAAUUGUUUUUAAUUUUUAUAUAUAAUUUUUUAUUUAAAUGUUUUGCUGGGGUGGUUAAUAAAUUUUAACUUUAUUUUUUUAUUUCAUUGUUAGUUGUUUUUAUUGAUCCUAAUGGAUUAUAAGAAUAAGUUACCUUAGGGAUAACAGCGUAAUUUUAGUGGGGAGUUCAUAUCUAUACUGAUUUUGCGACCUCGAUGUUGAAUUAAGAAAAAACUAAGAAGCAGAAUUCUUAGAUUUAAGUCUGUUCGACUUUUAAAUUCUUACAUGAUUUGAGUUCAAACCGGCGUGAGCCAGGUUGGUUUCUAUCUUAGAAGUUGUUGAAUUAUUUAGUACGAAAGGACCAAUAAUUUAUACUUAGGUGUUUAAAUUAAUUAAC
rnacentral:rRNA from 1 species